CAGAGACUGGGAAUGGAGAGAGUGUCCCAACUCAAUUUCCUGCCUUUGGUUCUGAGAGAUUCCCUUGUGCCCCAUUUGCUCAAGCCUGUGUGCGUAGGAGUGGGUUGCUUCCUGCCAAGUCAUCCCUAAUGAAAUGUGAAAAUGCAAAUGCCAGACACAAAGUGGAUGUGCAGUUCUUCAAGGUUUGAUAACAUUAACCUGAUGCCUAGGGUCUCAGAAGAAACCAGUUUUGGGGCCUGCUUCAGAACUAACCAGCAAACACCAAGGGCCUACACUGUGCUCAGCCCACUGAAAUGUGGCAUGGGGUGAAGUUUGUGAGCUCCAACCUGCUAGCAUUUCUUCUUUACGGAAUCAGAUGGAGGUGGUUCUGGGCCAGAGACAAAUCUAAGGGAAAGAAUUGCUGUUUCUCCUGCACGGCAGAGGAGCGGCUGCUGGGUAAGCAGCCCUUUCUGGCUGUCUCUCUCCAGGUGAGGUGAAUCAUCUCUCUGGAGGCUCCCUGAGCUCUCAGAGGCUGAAACCCCAAGGCCGAUGAAUCACAAGGAGAAUGAAGCAGUCUGCUUUUCAGUUUUCCUCGCGAUUUUUAUUGCAACCACCUUUACAUCAUGCAGAGGU
rnacentral:lncRNA from 1 species